UAUUCAGGCAAGGGAAAGGAAACAAUUCAGGGCAAGGGAAAGUAUUCAGGGCAAGGGAAAGUAUUCAGGGCAAGGGAAAGUAUUCAGGGCAAGGGAAAGGAAACAAUUCAGGGCAAGGGAAAGGAAACAAUUCAGGGCAAGGGAAAGUAUUCAGGGCAAGGGAAAGUAUUCAGGGCAAGGGAAAGUAUUCAGGGCAAGGGAAAGUAUUCAGGGCAAGGGAAAGGAAACAAUUCAGGGCAAGGGAAAGGAAACAAUUCAGGGCAAGGGAAAGUAUUCAGGGCAAGGGAAAGGAAACAAUUCAGGGCAAGGGAAAGUAUUCAGGGCAAGGGAAAGUAUUCAGGGCAAGGGAAAGUAUUCAGGGCAAGGGAAAGGAAACAAUUCAGGGCAAGGGAAAGUAUUCAGGGCAAGGGAAAGUAUUCAGGGCAAGGGAAAGGAAACAAUUCAGGGCAAGGGAAAGGAAACAAUUCAGGGCAAGGGAAAGUAUUCAGGGCAAGGGAAAGGAAACAAUUCAGGGCAAGGGAAAGUAUUCAGGGCAAGGGAAAGUAUUCAGGGCAAGGGAAAGGAAACAAUUCAGGGCAAGGGAAAGUAUUCAGGGCAAGGGAAAGUAUUCAGGGCAAGGGAAAGGAAACAAUUCAGGGCAAGGGAAAGGAAACAAUUCAGGGCAAGGGAAAGUAUUCAGGGCAAGGGAAAGGAAACAAUUCAGGGCAAGGGAAAGGAAACAAUUCAGGGCAAGGGAAAGUAUUCAGGGCAAGGGAAAGGAAACAAUUCAGGGCAAAGGAAAGGAAACAAUUCAGGGCAAGGGAAAGUAUUCAGGGCAAGAGAAGGGGAAGGUAGACAAAAAAUGAUGGUAAGAGCACAAAAAGACGAAAGCCUAGAAGAAUGUGGAAAGUGAGAGCUAUACUUUAAGAAGGACUUGUACAGCCUCAAGGAUCACACCCCCACCAAGCUAAGAGCCGUUUGCUUCAUCAAGACAAUGCCAGCGAGUAUUCUGCCUAUGAACAGGAUUUCAAGCUACACCAGCAUAGUUUCUCCAAAGGAUAGACGUAUACACUACAUGAAUUUCGCAAAUGGCCGUCACAAUUUUCUAUAUUAUCUAGCACACAGCGUUAAUUACAAUUUGACAAAUUAUCCCUGAAAGGUGUUAGACACCUUAUUUAUAUAGGUUAGUUAUUUUAGUUAUUUAGCGACGCACCAUAGUAGACGCAUAUUGAACGGGACUAGUGACGUUUGGGAUAUGUUGGGUUAGAGACCGGAAAAUCAGUUAGCGAUAGAACAUUCCAGGGUAACGACGUGUUUAGUGACAGAGACUUCUACUGUGGCCCUUUUAUCAUAAUAAAUACAUGUUGAAUAGUUCAUCAGAGUCGACUACAUCUCUUCACUAGUUAAAAUAGAUGUGCCAGUUCUUGUUUGUGUUGUAGUUCAACUGCACGUAAUACACCCGGACAAUUACACCCAAACGAUUGCAGAGUAAUUGGUUGACUUCAAGACAGCCUGAACUAGCAACAUCACAGUGGCGACCCCGAACCUCGAAGCCGGACCCCUGUUGAAGCCGAACAUCGAACCGAACCUCGAAGCCGGACCCCUGAUGAAGCUGAACAUCGAACCGGACUUCGAAGCAGAACGUUUACUCAGGUGAGGGUCGUGCACUCGAAGAUAUAAGAUUUCAUCGGAGUACGGCUGAACACAGCAGUAUCGCAGAGUGACUUUGUUCUAGAUCUACAUACAGUCAUCGCCUGUUUGAUCGCACGUUCAACGAGCCGUUAACUCAGGGUGACCUUCGUCAGGACCGUAAUCAUCGCAACGCCUGAUCUUCAUAUGCUGAAUCGACCUACAGCCAGAGAAACCGUUCAUUCAUAACGGGUGAGAGAUCGUUAGUGAACCUGUUGGACAUAUUUUUUCUUCGUCAUAGGAGCCACAUUGAGUAUCAAGUUUUACCUCGUCAGUUUCGAGAAGGACAGUUUACCCGCUGUCAGAAGUAUUGUGAGUACUACAAGUUUGGUAGCUAACUAAAUCGAAAUCGCUCUGUCGUCUUACCCUUGGAGAGAUUCUUGUGGAGCAGUUUGCUCAUUGAACCGGUUGCUUGCCACGUUUAUAACGGUCACUGUGUUUAACCUUUGGAAGGUUAGUGAAGUAAUCUUUAUCAGUACUGAACAUUGAUAUAUCUAGUAUUCGUCGGUCUAGACCAUAUCUAGACUUGUUGAUAUUGCAGUUGUGGAAACAGCUACAUCCACUUAAUCUCGUUGAAAACCGUUAGUCGUAUAACGGAACGUCGUCGGAGGUGACCUUGGUCUCACCUAGUCUACAUUGGACAGUUUGGUCUAGUGAAGCAGAGUACAACAGCAAACUUCGUCGUACUACCAGAGUAGCAGCAGAAGCAGUGAACUAUUUUAGAGAACCGUUAUUCGUCAGCCCAGAUCAAGUCAUCGUCAAGAAAGCCGUUAUUCGUCAGCCCAGAUCAAGUCAUCGUCAAGAAAUUCGUUAUUCGUCAGUCGUCCAGAUCAAGUUGUCGUCAAGAGACUGUUAUUUGUCAGUAGUCGUCUACACAAGUCAAGUCAUCGCCAGAAGAACCGUUAACCUAUUCGUCAGUAACUGUGUACACAAGGUCGUCGGAACUACACAUACGGUCAUCAACAGUCGUCGAAGAAACUGGAACAUUUUGCUGUGGCAUAUCAGGACAUCUGUGGCAUUACGUGGGAUACUGGUAGCACCGGAGAACAGAGUCAGAACUGGAAGAGAGGCAGUGGAAUUUGUUGUGAUCUAACAUAUUCGGGAGUCCGAACAAAGGGAUCUUUCUUAUCAAAAGCUAAGUGCCAUUUUUCUUAUUAGUAUAUGUUUAGAUUGCCCUUAGAAAUAGAUUUUGUCUAAAUUUGGUACGUUAGCCUGAGUAAAAUCAGGUGGUGCGCCUUAAAACCCGUCGGGGUAGAAGACGUAAUUUAGAUGAAAAGCUAUAUUAUACGUUUAGGGUUGUAAUUUGUUUUGUUUGUGCAAACGUCAUAUCCGUUGUUGCCUGGUUACUUCGUGACGUUAUCAUUGUGUGCCAUAUUGUCACAUCCCAACCCAUAGUGAUAGUCUCAUUUAAUUAUUUCAUUUGUUUAUAUUAUUUUAAAUUAUUUAUUUUUAUUAAUUUAAUUAGAUCUGUAUUUUUUUUUCACUUAAUGAUAGAAAGUGCGGGUAGGAUUCUUUUACUGUGAAUCAGACUAAAAUAAUUUUAGUUUGAGCGGUUAAAAUCAAAUAUGAUUUUGCCAUGAGAAUAAUGCCGAAACUGGCUAUGUAGUCAAACACUGUCGUCUGGCUAAAUUUAGAUCUGCAAAUUGUUGUACAUCUCUUUGGUACAAUUUAAUUAUCUAGACUCUACUUUGAAAUAUUAUUAAGUUGAAGAUGAAUGAAGAUUACUGCCAGUGAAGAACAUUUGAGAUGUAUAGGACGUGCCCAUAAGAUGCCACAUUUUCCUCCAUGAUGAACUAUGUACCAAUGAAGAUGAUUCUGGAAUGUUAUGAACUGUUAUGAACAUUGACAUGAAUAUGAGGAACUGUCAAGAUGAAGAUGUCAAGAUGAAGAGAUCAAGAUUUUAUGUUUGUGGUCUUCCCCUUAAAUUGAAAAUGCCCUUGUAAGACUUGACAGUAGUGGAAAAAUAUUGACAUAUUUUUUUUUCAAGGGGGGGAGGAAUCUGUUAGACACCUUAUUUAUAUAGGUUAGUUAUUUUAGUUAUUUAGCGACGCACCAUAGUAGACGCAUAUUGAACGGGACUAGUGACGUUUGGGAUAUGUUGGGUUAGAGACCGGAAAAUCAGUUAGCGAUAGAACAUUCCAGGGUAACGACGUGUUUAGUGACAGAGACUUCUACUGUGGCCCUUUUAUCAUAAUAAAUACAUGUUGAAUAGUUCAUCAGAGUCGACUACAUCUCUUCACUAGUUAAAAUAGAUGUGCCAGUUCUUGUUUGUGUUGUAGUUCAACUGCACGUAAUACACCCGGACAAUUACACCCAAACGAUUGCAGAGUAAUUGGUUGACUUCAAGACAGCCUGAACUAGCAACAUCACAAAGGUCAGAGCCGCGUCAAUGCCCUA